CCAUUCAGGCAAUCGCUGCAACUUCGGGUUGUAGAGGAAAGUCCAUGCUCACACGGACCUGAGACGGCCGUAGUGUUCGUGCCCGGCGAAGUCAUAAGCCGGGGCAGGCCCGCUGGGUCUGACGGCGGGAGUAACGCCUAAGUCCUUAGGGAUAUGGCCGAGGCUCCCUGAAAAGUGCCACAGUGACGUAGCCGCAUCGGAAACGGUGCGGGUGGAACGCGGUAAACCCCUCGAGUGAGAAACCCAAAUUUUGGUAGGGGCAUCCUUCUGAAGGAAUCCAACGGAGGAAGGGACAGGCAGCUGCCUGUAGAUAGAUGAUUGCCGCCGGAGUACGAGGCGAGAGCCGCUACAGUACGAAGGAACAAAACAUGGCUUACCGAA
rnacentral:RNase_P_RNA from 2 species